GUUUCCGCCAGGCUGUUCUCCAGGAUCCAGCCCUCUGACUCCGAGUCCGGAUCCCCGAGCCGGAUGACGUUCUCCAUGGCCGUCUGCAGGGAGCCAACAGGCUGCAGAGCUGAACUCUCUGGUCCUUCUCUCUCCUGGUUCCGUCCAUCAGGAGCCCAGUGGACCGGCGCUGGACGGUAAUUUACACUCAGGGGUUCUGGUCGUGUUCUGGUCGGGUUAACGGUCCUGUUAACCAGUUCCAGUUGCACAGAGACAGAAAUGAUUGAAC